AUUGAACGCUGGCGGCAGGCCUAACACAUGCGAGUCGAGCGGAUGAAGGGAGCUCGCUCCUGGAUUCAGCGGCGGACGGGUGAGUAAUGCCUAGGAAUCUGCCUGGUAGUGGGGGAUAACGUCCGGAAACGGGCGCUAAUACCGCAUACGUCCUGAGGGAGAAAGUGGGGGAUCUUCGGACCUCACGCUAUCAGAUGAGCCUAGGUCGGAUUAGCUAGUUGGUGGGGUAAAGGCCUACCAAGGCGACGAUCCGUAACUGGUCUGAGAGGAUGAUCAGUCACACUGGAACUGAGACACGGUCCAGACUCCUACGGGAGGCAGCAGUGGGGAAUAUUGGACAAUGGGCGAAAGCCUGAUCCAGCCAUGCCGCGUGUGUGAAGAAGGUCUUCGGAUUGUAAAGCACUUUAAGUUGGGAGGAAGGGCAGUAAGUUAAUACCUUGCUGUUUUGACGUUACCAACAGAAUAAGCACCGGCUAACUUCGUG
rnacentral:rRNA from 1 species